rnacentral:rRNA from 1 species
GAUGAACGCUGGCGGCGUGCUUAACACAUGCAAGUCGAACGGUGAACGAGGGAGCUUGCUCCCUCCGGAUCAGUGGCGAACGGGUGAGUAACCCGUGAGCAAUCUGCCCUGGACUCUGGGAUAAGCGUUGGAAACGACGUCUAAUACCGGAUACGAGGCGUGGGGGCAUCCCCAACGCCUGGAAAGAACUUCGGUCCAGGAUGAGCUCGCGGCCUAUCAGCUAGUUGGUGAGGUAACGGCUCACCAAGGCGACGACGGGUAGCCGGCCUGGGAGGGUGGCCGGCCACACUGGGACUGAGACACGGCCCAGACUCCUACGGGAGGCAGCAGUGGGGAAUAUUGCACAAUGGGCGAAAGCCUGAUGCAGCAACGCCGCGUGAGGGACGACGGCCUUCGGGUUGUAAACCUCUUUUAGCAGGGAAGAAGCGAAAGUGACGGUACCUGCAGAAAAAGCACCGGCUAACUACGUGCCAGCAGCCGCCGUAACAC